GGUAACAACUGAUCGAAGAUGUGAAAGAGGUGAGGAAGUAAACCAUAUGAAACAUGGCGGAAAUAUCUCAGGUAAAGAGAACAAGCGUAAAAAGGCCUGAUGCAGGAGUCCACCUGGAUGUUCAAGAAACAGCAACAAGCCCUGAAACAGAACCCCAGAAGGAGCACAGCCUGGCCAACAACUUGAUUUUAGCCCAGGGAGCCUGACCUCGGACUUCUGACCACCAGGACUAUAAGGAAAGAUAGCUCUUUGGGAAUAUCCAAUAAAGACUUGAUGAACAGAGGAAAAAGCAGGAGCUUCAGCAUUCUACAGUGAAUCAAAGAGAGCCCUUGCUGUGAAGUGACUGAACAAAAAGAGUAUAAACUCC